UACGAAGGGGGCUAGCGUUGCUCGGAAUGACUGGGCGUAAAGGGCGCGUAGGCGGAUUGUUCUUGUCAGACGUGAAAAUUCCAGGGCUCAACCUUGGGGCUGCGUUUGAGACGGGUGAUCUUGAGUGGAGAAGAGGGUCGUGGAAUUCCCAGUGUAGAGGUGAAAUUCGUAGAUAUUGGGAAGAACACCGGUGGCGAAGGCGGCGACCUGGUCUUUUACUGACGCUGAGGCGCGAAAGCGUGGGGAGCAAACAGG
rnacentral:rRNA from 1 species